GACAGAGGGUGCAAACGUUGUUCGGAAUUACUGGGCGUAAAGCGUGUGUAGGCGGCUACGUAAGUCGGAUGUGAAAGCCCCAGGCUCAACCUGGGAAGUGCACUCGAUACUGCGUAGCUUGAGUAUCGGAGAGGUUGGUGGAAUUCUCGGUGUAGAGGUGAAAUUCGUAGAUAUUCGCAAGAACACCAGUGGCGAAGGCGGCUCACUGGCCCAUAACUGACGCUGAGGCACGAAAGCGUGGGGAGCAAACAGGG
rnacentral:rRNA from 1 species